GACAUGGCCUGCACAUGGUUCAUACUAACAUUAAACUGAUCUUGUAACAUCCUAGCUCUUUCAUCACACAUACUUGUAAGUGUUUCUUUUCUCUUUUCAACAGCUUUAGAGUUCAUAUACCACAAGACUGAAAAAGAAACAACAAUCCAAAAUAAUAACCAUACUAUCAAAAGCUUCCUCCACCACUUGUUUCCCACUUUCCUAUUUCCAACAUACUGAGGGUAACAAUGAUAAAUCUUAGCACUCAAAUCCCACAAUUUCUUCACUAUGUGCUCUCCAUCACCAAGCAAAGUCUUGCUGCUAGUCAUAACUUCACCAUUCAUGGAAAAAAUCAGAGACAGAAACCAGCAACAUAGAGUCAAAAUUAGGCUACCCAAUUUCAAACCAAACCCAAUAACAUAAAACAAACUCAUCCAAAACACAUCAAACACCUAACCCCUUUUCAAGAAUCAGCAGUCUACUGAACCUAACAUCAGUAAAGUUUCAAACUUUAGUUAAGAAGAUGUGAUGAG
rnacentral:misc_RNA from 1 species